rnacentral:rRNA from 1 species
GAUGAACGCUGGCGGCGUGCCUAAUACAUGCAAGUCGAGCGAACAGACGAGGAGCUUGCUCCUCUGACGUUAGCGGCGGACGGGUGAGUAACACGUGGAUAACCUACCUAUAAGACUGGGAUAACUUCGGGACACCGGAGCUAAUACCGGAUAAUAUAUUGAACCGCAUGGUUCAAUAGUGAAAGACGGUUUUGCUGUCACUUAUAGAUGGAUCCGCGCCGCAUUAGCUAGUUGGUAAGGUAACGGCUUACCAAGGCGACGAUGCGUAGCCGACCUGAGAGGGUGGUCGGCCACACUGGAACGGAGACACGGACCAGACUCCUACGGGAGGCAGCAGUAGGGAAUCUUCCGCAAUGGGCGAAAGCCUGACGGAGCAACGCCGCGUGAGUGAUGAAGGUCUUCGGAUCGUAAAACUCUGUUAUUAGGGAAGAACAAAUGUGUAAGUAACUAUGCACGGCUUGACGGUACCUAAUCAGAAAGCCACGGCUAACUACGUG